UUCAGCUUUGGAGUACAUCAUGAUGAUGGCUUAAGCGCACAACUGUAGGGCAGCGUAUGAGAAAGGCAACUGGAAACGGAGACGUUUGGGGGACAAACACUUUGCGUGGCUGGCUUAUCAACUCUGCAUUCCUUGUGAACUGAGUUUGGCAAUGUACUAAAAAGUAGCUUUGGUUUGUAGCUUUUGCAGUUUGGGUGUAGACAGUUGAAGUGCAGUCGUUAAACGUUGCAGAUGUGCGGAGGAUCAGUAAAUGGAAUCGAGUAUCAAUGGAUUUGCAUGGUUUGAAUUGCGCGCCACAGCAACAGACUCAAUACGCACACACACACACGCACACACGUACACGCACAAAUAUUGCAAUAGGUAAACAACACACAGAUACUCAAAUGUGCGGCGGCGGCGUCUAUAAAUAAAUUUGAAUGUUGCCAUGACGUCAUCGAUGGAGUAAACAUCUGGUGCUUUAAUACCACGAAAAUGCAGCUUGUGCAGACAAAAAACACCGUGCAGAUGUAUCACAGAUACAACAAAUAUAAUGAUACGCAUAAUUACAUUUAAAGUGCGUUUUACGAUGUGUUUUUUUAACAAUUUCAUUUUGCAGCACCUUGACCAAAUAAAUGAAUGAUGCGAGCGAAUAUUUGGGUCACAAUUUUUGCACUGGACCCCACAUGGGCGUUAUGAUGAUGUAAUGUCGUUAAUAUUCAAUUCAAUGAAAUGUUCUUCUGAUUCGCUUACUGAA